rnacentral:rRNA from 1 species
CGAGUGGCGAACGGGUGAGUAACGCGUGAGGAACCUGCCUCAAAGAGGGGGACAACAGUUGGAAACGACUGCUAAUACCGCAUAAGCCCACGGGUCGGCAUCGACCAGAGGGAAAAGGAGCAAUCCGCUUUGAGAUGGCCUCGCGUCCGAUUAGCUGGUUGGUGAGGUAACGGCCCACCAAGGCGACGAUCGGUAGCCGGACUGAGAGGUUGAACGGCCACAUUGGGACUGAGACACGGCCCAGACUCCUACGGGAGGCAGCAUG